AACAUCCAUGGUUGAGAUCGAGUCAUGUAGAAUAUGGAGCUGGUGAUGUCUCCUUUGCCUUUGUUUGAGCGGUCCAUGACAGUCUGAAGAUUCUGUAUGUUUAAAAAUCCUGAUUGUGUUAUAUAGCCCCCACAUCGGUUACUUGAUUACUUCAUCUGUACUAUAGGACUUCGUUUAGUUGAUUACUUCAUCUGUAUUGUAUGCACUCAGUGGUGGUUCACCUGACCACCUAUAGAGAUUCUCAUACUAAAAAAAUUAUCCAAAGCCAACAUACAAAAGACGUGCUUGUUGUGUGGAACGAACUAUGGCCCAUCGGUAUGCGAAACCAUUUCUUCUCUUCUUCUGACUUACACUCCUCUGAACAUUUUUGUCUUUUCAGAUUGGUGGCUUCAUAUGCCAGUUGUGUUUAGUGGAUUGAUCUGCAGAUAUUUCAGACUGCGUGUGUAUUUCUUCUGGCAGAAAUUUUUGUGCACUUUCUGCCAUCAUACAAGUGUUUUAGGGAGGAAAAGGAGAAAGAACACAGUAAGUAAAGGAGGGAUAUCAGAGCAAACACCAAGAACUAGUAGUUGCAUUCGGAAAGCAAAUGAGUGCUACACUUAUUCUUCUUCUCCCUUCCCAUUCGUUGCAGCUAAACUUCUGCUCCUCUUUCAUUUUGUUGCUAAAGGGCUGCUGGCAAUUUUAGCCAUCUCAAGACUGUAUUUGAAAAUACACUGAUGCAACACAUGUGACCCUUCCUCCUGGUUCUAUGGGGAAAAUAAGCUACGUGGCCCGUGCUGGUCAGUACAAUUUGCAGUACUGGAGUUGGAAUUUCAGGGCAUCAAAAGCAAUUUACAAUGCUCCAGGUAAAACAAUUUCUCGUUGCUACCUGCAUCUGUCCAGACUCUUAACAACUCAUAUUUUGAUACUGCCAAUUUCAGCAAGUGAGCCAAUAUCAUCUUUCUAACCUUGGAUGUUAAUUCUGGUAGUCUAUGUUGAGGCAUUCUUAAAUUUUUUGUUUUUUGCUUACCCCUGUACGCCUUAGAUCACAGGUUUGACUGAAGCAAAAAUUAUACUACGAGAAAAUGUAGGUUAUAAUGUAUUAGCAAAUGGUUUUCAUAGCUCUAAGAUAUACUGGACUUUCACUGAAAGAGUAGUUAACCAUUUCUGCAGUGUUCGUCUGGUUACUGCUCCGGUUAGUAUCAGGAGGUUACUGCAAGAUCAAUACUUGCCUAUAGAAAUAUGCCGGCAUGAAAAGGUGAUGUCCUCACUACAAUGUAUACGUAUCAUGCUUUUCCCAUUACAUAUGUAGUUGCUUAAUUAAUGUGAGUGGACUCUUUGCAGCCUGUGUGUCUUCAGUCUUUUCUAUCAAACCUGGAUCAUGAUUUGUGUCACGAAAAUCAACUUAUAGAAGACUUGGUAAACCCAUUUGAUAAUAUAGAAAUCAUACUGCACUGCACUGCUUAGACCAUUCCAAUUUUUUUUUUUAGAUGAGAAGAUUCCAUUUUGCAAAGCUUAUUUCCCCAUGGGAUAUUAUCUCUCUUUUCUUGAGUAAAAAAAGGCUCAUGGAAUAACCUAAUAAUCUCUUCUAUCCAUGUAACACCUACUGAAUCAUGGAGGAUCAACUCAUGGGGGUCAGCAGGCGCACGCCGCUUUUCUAGUAGAAGCCGAGCUACGGAUCGACGCGGAGAAGCGCUCCAGCAACAACCAGCUCGUUGACCCCUCUCCGUCACCCUCCCUGUCGUCGACCCCUCCAUCACCCUCCUCGUCGGUGAAGAUGGGGACCAGCGCACGAAUAGCGCGAAGGCCCAUUCCCAAAUCCCUAGGUCGCCAUCGCGCCUGUGGCCCCCCACGACCCACUCGCGAGCUCCCACCAGCGCGGCCCGUGAAUGGCGAGCAGCAGCGCGGGUGUUCGUCUUCCUCCAAUUUCUCGAUUUGUCCCAUUUCGGUUUUCCUCCUCAUCUGCGUUCUUCAUUGCAAGCACACCAACUUAUUUGAGCUUUCUCUUGAUUCUCGAUUAAUCCUCUGCCUCCUCCAUUUUCUAAUUUCUGUAUUUCGGUGAGACAGUCUCGAGGACGCGUUCGUCGUCAACUUUGGGCUGCGAGAA